rnacentral:rRNA from 1 species
GCCGGGCUUCGGCCUGGUUAUUCAUAACCCUUUGUUGUCCGACUCUGUUGCCUCCGGGGCGACCCUGCCUUCGGGCGGGGGCUCCGGGUGGACACUUCAAACUCUUGCGUAACUUUGCAGUCUGAGUAAACUUAAUUAAUAAAUUAAAACUUUUAACAACGGAUCUCUUGGUUCUGGCAUCGAUGAAGAACGCAGCGAAAUGCGAUAAGUAAUGUGAAUUGCAGAAUUCAGUGAAUCAUCGAAUCUUUGAACGCACAUUGCGCCCCCUGGUAUUCCGGGGGGCAUGCCUGUUCGAGCGUCAUUUCACCACUCAAGCCUCGCUUGGUAUUGGGCAACGCGGUCCGCCGCGUGCCUCAAAUCGUCCGGCUGGGUCUUCUGUCCCCUAAGCGUUGUGGAAACUAUUCGCUAAAGGGUGUUCGGGAGGCUACGCCGUAAAACAACCCCAUUUCUAAGGUUGACCUCGGAUCAGGUAGGGAUACCCGCUGAACUUAAGCAUAUCAAUAAGCGGAGGAAA